rnacentral:rRNA from 1 species
AGUGAACGCUGGCGGUAGGCCUAACACAUGCAAGUCGAACGGCAGCACAGUAAGAGCUUGCUCUUACGGGUGGCGAGUGGCGGACGGGUGAGGAAUACAUCGGAAUCUACUUUUUCGUGGGGGAUAACGUAGGGAAACUUACGCUAAUACCGCAUACGACCUACGGGUGAAAGCAGGGGAUCUUCGGACCUUGCGCGAUUGAAUGAGCCGAUGUCGGAUUAGCUAGUUGGCGGGGUAAAGGCCCACCGAGGCGACGAUCCGUAGCUGGUCUGAGAGGAUGAUCAGCCACACUGGAACUGAGACACGGUCCAGACUCCUGCGAGAGGCAGCAGUGGGGAAUAUUGGACAAUGGGCGCAAGCCUGAUCCAGCCAUACCGCGUGGGUGAAGAAGGCCUUCGGGUUGUAAAGCCCUUUUGUUGGGAAAGAAAAGCAGCAGGUUAAUACCCCGCUGUUCUGACGGUACCCAAAGAAUAAGCACCGGCUAACUUCGUG